CCUACGGGAGGCAGCAGUGAGGAAUAUUGGUCAAUGGCCGGAAGGCUGAACCAGCCAAGCCGCGUGAGGGAGGAAGGCGCAGAGCGUCGCAGACCUCUUUUGCCGGGGGACAAAAGGCCGGACGGGUCCGGUUCUGAGGGUACCCGGAGAAACAGCAUCGGCUAACUCCGUGCCAGCAGCCGCGGUAAUACGGAGGGUGCGAGCGUUAACCGGAAUUACUGGGCGUAAAGCGUUCGUAGGCGGUAUGUCAAGUCAAGGGUGAAAUCCCCGCGCUCAACGGAGGAACUGCCUUUGAUACUGGCAAACUGGAGAGUAUGAGAGGAAAGUGGAAUUCCAGGUGUAGGAGUGAAAUCCGUAGAGAUCUGGAGGAACAUCAGUGGCGAAGGCGGCUAUCUGGCACAUAACUGACGCUGAGGAACGAAAGCGUGGGUAGCAAACAGGAUUAGAUACCCCUGUAGUC
rnacentral:rRNA from 1 species